rnacentral:ribozyme from 1 species
UGUCCAGCAACUCCUAUCCCUACAUCCUCUCGGUACUGGCCGGGGUACGAGUAACCUAAGGGAAAAUCGAGUAACCAACCCCGGUGAGAACUCUGGUUGUAUGCUGAUAGGGAAGU